CAGCCGCCACGGUAAUACGAGGGGUACAAGCGUUAUUCGGAUUGAUUGGGUGUAAAGGGUGUGCAGACGGCUUAUUAAGUCACUUGUUAAAUUCUUCGGCCUAACUGAAGGUCUGCAAGUGAUACUGAUGAGCUAGAGGGUGGAAGAGAGAAGUGGAAUUCUCGGAGUAGCGGUAAAAUGCGUAGAUCUCGAGAGGAACACCAAUGGCGAAGGCAGCUUCUUGGUCCAUUCCUGACGUUCAUACACGAAAGCGUGGGGAGCAAACAGGAUUAGAUACCCCUGUAGUCCCUGUCUCUUAUAC
rnacentral:rRNA from 1 species